rnacentral:misc_RNA from 1 species
AAAUGCGAUAAGUAAUGUGAAUUGCAGAAUUCAGUGAAUCAUCGAAUCUUUGAACGCACCUUGCGCUCCUUGGUAUUCCUUGGAGCAUGCCUGUUUGAGUAUCAUGAAAUCUUCAAAGUAAAUCUUUUGUUAACUCAAUUGGUUUCUACUUUGGUAUUGGAGGUCUUUGCAGCUUCACACCUGCUCCUCUUUGUUCAUUAGCUGGAUCUCAGUGUUAUGCUUGGUUCCACUCGGCGUUAUAAGUUAUCUAUCGCUGAGGACACUGUAAAAGGUGGCCAAGGUAAAUGCAGAUGAACCGCUUCUAAUAGUCCAUUGACUUGGACAAUACUUUUAUGAUCUGAUCUCAAAUCAGGUAGGACUACCCGCUGAACUUAAGC